GGGGUUGUGGCGUAACCAGGCAGCGUAGCUGGCUCCAGACCAGCUGGUCAGGGUUCAAAUCCCUGCAACCCCA
rnacentral:tRNA from 1 species